rnacentral:rRNA from 1 species
UACAGGGGGUGCAAACGUUGCUCGGAAUCAUUGGGCGUAAAGCGCACGUAGGCGGUCUGUUAUGUCGGAUGUGAAAGCCCUUGGCUUAACUGAGGAAGUGCAUCCGAUACUGGAUGGCUUGAAUCCGGGAGAGGGAUGCAGAAUUCCAGGUGUAGCGGUGAAAUGCGUAGAUAUCUGGAGGAAUACCGGUGGCGAAGGCGGCAUCCUGGACCGGCAUUGACGCUGAUGAGCGAAAGCUAGGGGAGCAAAUGGG